rnacentral:lncRNA from 1 species
AAUUUUUCUAGAGAAUAGUAACUGCCAAUCACAGUUGGUGUUGGUUAGGUCUAUUUAGUAUGGACGAUCUCACAGCUGUCCACCUCAAGACGAGAAAAGCGAAGUGGCUUCACUCAGCGUCUGUCCUCCGACAUAAGCAGUACUAAAUAAUGUAGUCUGAUCAGAACUUGGUGUUAACCAUGGCUUCCAUGCCAGCUUUAGGCUUUUUUUUAGUAUUUGGCUCUGGAACCUUUUGUUCCAGCAGCAUUUUUAGUCUUUUGCCUCUGUAGUCGCUUUAAUUGAGAAGAGAGAGAGAGAGUAUCAAAUUGUCACCUCACAAUGGAGAUUUUUCUCCUAUAACCGCUACUAAAGCGGUGUAAGUACGGGGAUCAACGUACGAAUCCAUCAUUUCAUGGGUUCAUGAACGUGUGUCUUUAAGCCGCUGAGACGCCUCUGAAUCGAUGGCCGUCCUAGCUUGGGGUAUGCUGUCUCCUGUCCAUCUGGACGUGUAGAGCUCGAUCACCGAGCCUAGAUUCAAUUUGAAGAAACAGCUAUGAGUGUUGCAUCAAAGACCACCAAGUCUUGUGAAUGGCGAUUUUGCGUUUGAUUGAGCUGAUAGACGAUGGCUGCAGUGUUGAGUCUUGAUGUUGUCCGUGAUGCUGAUCUUCAAUAGCGGGUCUGGUGAGCCAACAUACUGUAAGGUUGGUGCCGAGACAAACAUUGUCUAUCCUUUAUUAUAUUGUUUGAGAUGUUCGUCUAUCAAAAUUUAGUUAUCUGAUUAGUACUGGAAUUUCAGUUGUUUGAUAAUAUUUCAUUGGUAGGGUCAGUAAUGUGCUAUAAAAAUAUAGGGUGUAUUUUGUGGUCUGGCAUUGUAAAGAGAGUUGUCAGACGUGAUAGGGUUUGUUAACGUUUCCUUUAGGCUGUGGUAAUUUUUUUUUGAGCUUAGAUAGGUAGAUGUGAGAAAUCUUAUCUGUUGAAGUUGUAGUUUUGUUUGAUGAAUUAAGUAUCUGGAGUGAGUGUCGCCAGUUGUAAGGGGCACUACUCAGAUGAGGUCCAUAUGACAAAUCAAGGUUAAUAGCUGGGACUAUCCUUGUUGUAUUUGUGGAAUGGAAGAUAGAAUUUUAGCAAAAGGUACUCAGAGUAGUAUGAGCUAAAAUUAGGUUUUAUUCUGGUGACUGGUGUGGUUCCUUUCUGAAGAUUUAUGGGGGUCUGAAGAAAAUAGAUGGAAUGCUAACCAAGAUCAGGAUUUUUUUUUGAAAUUUUAGGGUAAGCCUCAGUUGAAAGGUUCGUUAGAUUGAUAGCUGGGAAUGGCCACAAUACACUGUCAAAAUUUAUUAUCUAAUUUCUUGGGAUAAAAUUUAUCUAAAUAAUGUGGGUAGUGAAAAUCUAAAGUUUUAUUUAAUAGGAAAAAGGUUAUAUUAUUAAUAAGUCAAUGUGAAUUUGAAAUGAGUAUAAUAAAUGAGAGAAAAAUUGAGAAAAGUUUAAUUGGGAUUUUGUAAUAAUAAAUAGUAUACUGCUAUAGUUAAUUUGGUGAUACAGACAGUGGAAAGUAAUUUAUUUCAAUACAGAGAAAUUGGGGAAAUUAAAAAUAAAUAAAUAAUAUUUGAAUUGUAUGGUGAUAAUUGAUUAUGAGAAUUAAUUUUACUUGGUGAUAGGAUAAUUGAUUAUUUUUUGUUGCAGUAUUGUGAGGAUAAAUUAGGGAGAUUCAAUAAAUUAUAGUGUUGGUUUAGUAUGGUGACCUUGAAUUUUUAUAGAUAUUAUUUGAUGGGUAAUAAUAAAGUGAAGAAUAAUAAUUGAAUAAGAUAGACAGGAUAUAGAAUCAUGUCCUAUAUUAAUUGCAGCAAAAGUUGAUUAAUAUUACAAGGGGAAGAAACGGGAAAUGUAGAAAAAUAGGAAAAGUAGUUCUUUAAUAUAACAUAAACAUGGAAAAAUGAUUGAAUAAAACAAAAAAAUAGAAAAUAGGAAACGGGAAGAAAAUCUAGGUAACUCAAUUUUUCACAACUUUUGUGAUGAUAAAAAAAAGGGAAUAUGUAACGGGAAAUGGAACAGGUUUCAGUACUAUAGAAUAUGGAACUAUUUUUUUAUUAAUCUUGAGAAAAUGCUUAUGUUGUUUGCUUUAGCUUGUCUUUGUCAAUGGAAUUCUUAAAAUAAAGGUUUGAGUUUCUGAAGGUUCUUCUUUGAGUGUGGUAGGCAGUAUAAAAUUUUGUUCAAAUAUUUUUUGUGGAGCUUAGUUCAGUUAUAUACUAGUCGAUAGUGGAAAAUUUUCUUUAUGAUAUGGUUCAGUGUCUGUUAUCAUGAUCAUUGGCCUAGGCGUUUGUACUGUCAUAUUUCUUCAUGUGCUGGAGAAAUGAGUUUAAUUGAGUAUACAAGGAGAAGAUAGUAAGUAGUAAUUUGAUGUGUUGAGAGAAUAUUGUAGUAAGUUAUUUUUUUUGAGUUGCCAAGGUCCAUUAGUUGUGAUACUGUGGUUGUACCAAGGUGAUAGGAAGCACAAAUAGUAGGUAUACUGGUGUAUGUAUAUUGUCCUCAAAUGUUGCUGUCCCAAGUGAGUAAUGAGUAACGGAAAUUAAGUGGUAAUGAUGUACUGAAUAGUUGUAUCUCUGUUUGUGAAACAGUGAAGAUCUUAGUCUUUUCCAAAAGGGAAAAUUCAGAAUUGUAGCGUAGGUGUUGCUGGGUAAUUGUGGGACAAUUCGCGAUGUCCUUUAUCUUUAGCUAAAACCGACGUUAUUUUGUUGCACGAAAUUGCAAGGAACGAGAUGGAGAGUAUAAAUGGGUGAUAUGAGUUUUGUUGCUAAGUUGAUACGUGUAUCAAGGUCAACGUGUAUCAUGAUACGUAAGCUGCUAACAUCGUUGCAUGUGAGUUAACUCUGUGUAGUUAUUGGCUUCAUGACAUUGAAAAGCGGUUGCAUACGUAGGUCAGGGUUGCUUUGACAUGAGGCGGCCGUCAGCUGUUUCAGUGGUGAGAUGCGUCAAAUGUCAGUUGCUCGAUUUUAACAACUUGUCGAGUUAUGAUGGUCUGGUCAUAUGAUUGUGAUAAUUUGAUAAUUUUUUUUAAUUUGUUGUUUCUAUUUAAAAUUUUUUUGUUGAGGUUAGCUAUGGGAUAAUCUGAUUAUGAACUUAACAGCAGAGGAUUGAUUGGAGAGUCUCUUUAAAUAUUUUGGUCGUUUUAUUAAUUUUGAUUUUAUUUUGUCACUGUUGAUUGAUGUCUAUUACUGGUUGUUUAGCUUCAUAUGAGACAGGGCCCGUCUAGAUGUGGAGUUUGGCAGCCGGUUUUGCACAAUUUCUAGUUGACUUUACAAAAUUUUUGGUGUCUUAUGUUGCAAAAUUUUACGAGUUUUCCACAAGGUUUUCUUAGAUAUCUUGAUUAUUCCAAAUUAGUUGAUUACCUUCAUGGUGAUUUGUCUUAACUUUUGUGAGAUCGAAAUUUGUUGCUAGUCCACUUGGUUAUUUAAAAA